GGGAAGAGGAUCAGGAGGGAUGGAGAAAAUGAGCUGCAAAUGAAAAGUUUGCUCUGUGCUUUGUGGGUGCGGCCACAGUGAUGUCACUCCAAAAUCUCCUAAAUGUUCUACUCAGGUGAAUCCUCCGCUGGAAGCCGCUUUAGGGAGGAUUUUGAAUGGCUUUUUUUUCAUCUCAUCCAGUAUUUUAGUGACGGGGGAGAGGAGGAGGAUCUGUAGAGGAAACUUUUUGGGUUUCUGGAUGCAGUCUCCUGCUGCAGUGAUCAGAUCCUGCACUAGAGGGCGCUGUUAGAGCUGUAAUGGUGGGACUGGGCUCUGGCUGCUGUGUGUCGGACGGGUGGCCCAUAUUAAGAAGACACGGGAUGGAGUGUCCAUAUUAAGACUAAGACCAUAUUAAGACAGUGGGAGAUGGUAGCUCGGGGUAAAAGACUGUGGACUCUGUCGCAACUCCUGUUUACCGAGCAGACAGAACGUCCUGGCCCAGUUUAUCAUAUGUGCACAGUGACGGAGCACUUUCAGCACUUUCAGCUCUUUAAUAAAUAUGAAGAUGUGAGAGAUCAGGCUGAAACUCUGAGGACCCUCAGCAGUGUGUGCUGCUGAGAGAGGAGAGCAGCAGCAGGAGGAGGAAGGAGGAGGAGGAGGUGAAGAACAGCAGAGGGACACAGUGGAGGGGUCGGUGCUCGUCCUUGAGUGAAGAUCAAGGGUCAGAUUAGAUAGAUGUCUGGGAAAAAAAAUCAUGGUCCUUGAGGUCAUAAUGAUCCACAUGAAGAGUAUAACUCCAGCAAAUCGUUAAAAAAGAGCACAUUUAAAUUUACACUGAACUAUUCACAACGAAAAGUGUUCAUUGAUUUGAUACUGAACCCAAAACAAGCGGCAGUAGCUUGUUUUUUUGCUGUUAGCCACUCUGAUUUUAGACACGCAAAAAUAAAUGAUAUGGUCUGUUUGAAUGAAUUGUUGAUGUUCAAUAACGAUAGAAAAAAGUUUUCCAUAGGACAAGAAUGACUAUUAACGAACAGUUUGUUCCAGAUAAGACUAUAUAAAGACUAUAUAUAAAACAAUAACUAUGAACACCAUAUUUAAAAAUCAGGUGCUAUGGGACUCCUUAAAUUUUACAUAAUGAAGUGUGUAAAUGAUGAAUAUUAAUGUUAAUGUUUUGAUGAAUUUCCCUUAUGUAGUAUGUAAAAAUUGUCAAUAAAACAGUUAAAAAUAGAAUAAAAAAUAAAAGUCAAUGCAAGAGGGAAAAGAGUAAGAACAAAUGGUGAUGUCCAAAGAAGCAGAAGAACUAUUUUUGUAUUUGUGUUUUUUAAUUUUGCGCAUGUGGGACUAAGGCUAAAGUUUUAAAUACACUUUGUAGAGUUUGGCAACAUUUUAUGCCCCUACAGUCUUUUUGCUGAAUGAGUGCCAUAGACCAUUUUUAGUCUACUCUAUAGUUCUAUAUAAUAAAUAUCAAUCAAUAUUUAUAUUGAUUAACAACCAAUUGCCAAAGAGGCACACAUUUGACACUAAAGUAAAAAAAAAAAAAAACAGUUUUUGCUGUUAUUAUUUUGCAAAAUGUAUGUAAUGUACUGGCAAACACUUCUUAGCAGUUGUAACUGUAAACUAUAAUCUGCAUAUACUGUCAAGAUUGUGUAUUAGUUUUAGUAGCUUUACACCUGCCAUUGUUGCAGAAUCAGUAGUUAUAUGCUGUUUUUAGGUUUGAAACGUAUUAAAAAGUAUUGAAAUGUAUUUAAUUUUGGCAUGCUGUAUUCAAGCAAAUGUGAAUAACAUCAGAAAGAUCCAGAAUUGUCUUAGUGGGUAAUAUUGUUUGUUAAUAAAAUGUAAGCAUAUUAAAACAUGCUAACUGAAUGCACAUUUUGUGAAUGCAGAUUGGACAAGAGCAUGUUAGCGAUUGAAAAAACUGUAAGAGAGAAAACUGAAUUAUGCGGGGAGAGAGAAAAAACACACAGCAAGGGUUUUCCCAGAAUGUCUCCACCAGAUUUCAAAACUUUCAUGUUUUGCCAUGUUCAACCUUAUCUUAUAUUGCAUCCAGGAUAGAAGCUCCAACAGGCAACCAGAGUCUUCUUUUAAUUACAGCAGUUUUUCCCCAAUAAACUAAUUAUUUCACUCUAA